CCUAUUGUAAAUAAAUAAUGAUUAAUUCGUAGUUCUAAGAGAGCAGUAUUUUCGUAAACAAACACUCGACUCCCUAUCCCUUACCUCUUAUAAAGUUUUUCUUUCAGAAUAUUUUUGUAACCGCGCGCAAUGCGGUUGGUAGAGUCAGUGCUUGCUGCGUUAAAUCACAUUUAAUAUUGACUUAGAACAUAACAACUUUCAUUAAAUUUAAUUGUAAUAAUCAGACGCGAAAUUAGAGUCAGUGUGUCCGCCAAUUGUCAUUUGACUUAAACGGACGUGUUAAUAGUCUAUUACUCUAUUUUUUUUGUUACACGUUCGUUUUCGGUAGUAGAGUCGCAGGUCUCGCAAGAGGAUAAAGCCUUUCCUGGAGCUCAAGAAUGUAAGUUUUUCGUACAUUGCAUUUUAAUUUAUUUAUCGAACUAAAAUCUUAAAAUUUUGCUAUUGAAGUACACAAUAAAAAUGUUUGAUAUCGUUCAGAAAUUGGUAGAGCCUCAAUUUCUAAGUCUGUCAUUAUUGUGUUAAAAUUCCAUUUUUUAUAUAAAAUUAAACUAUAUUAGAAUUUCAAAUCUUUUUAUUAUUAAAAUUUCAUGUUUGAAUAGAGUUUUAUUUUGCAUUGUUUUAAGUUUUCUAACAAUCACAAGUACGUUUUCAAGAGCAACUUAUAGUAUUUAACAUGUUUUGUUACAGGUUUUUCAUAACUUGCAUCAUUUUUCCUCUUCUUUGGGAAGGAUGUAGUGGUGUUUUAAAUUUAUACAUGUAUGCCACUUCUUCUCCUUCUUCCUGUUGCCUGGAAAAUACCUAGUGGUGUUUCAAAAGCCAAAAAUUUUUCUUCCAUUGAAUUCGAGGAUUCCAAUUUGAUGGUGGCUUGAUGACGAUCUCCCUUGGAUCAGAACAACAUCGAAGACAAAAUUCUUCACAUCUAAUCGUGAGUCGCAUGUAUUUGUGUUCCUCCGGUCAUUCAAUCAUGUCGAAGGAUGAAUGAUCCGAAUCGACACGGGUGAUUGGUUGUAUACGUAGAAUUUUUGACGAGCAUAGUGACCGCGGGUAUUUAUACCCGUGAGUAGUAACAUUUUUUGUCUAUAUUUUAUUUAUUAGUUUAGGAUAGGUUUUCUUGCACACCGCGUUUUUAAAUGUUGAUGCUAAUAUAUAUAAUAUAUAUAAGUAUGAUAUUUACAUACUGCAAUAUAAAGUAUUUUGUAUAAGUAAUAUAAUGUUAUGAGAUAUAAUUAGUAUAUAUAUAUGCAUAUGAUUGAAAAUUUCACAAUAUAUUCAUUAUAAUUAUUUAUAAAAUCAAAGUAUUUUGUAGUGAAGAAGUCUGAUGCCCUCAGACUUCGUUAGUAUGGAAAUUCAAGUAUGAUUAAAGUUAUUAUAAUGCUGAUGAAGACUAUAAAUUAUGUUUAUUUUAAUGUUUUACUUUAUUAUGGUAUAGAGCAGUUUUAUCAUUUGAGUAUACACAGUAUAAUUUCAGUAAAAUUCGGAAUAUGAAAUAUGAAAGUAUAUGUUAAAGUAUAACUCUGUCUGUCCGUUAUGACGGAUGUUAUCAAAUUUCACGUGCAAGAAAACAUUUCGCGGCAGGCUGAUAUCAGAAUCAAAACAAGUUGUGAACGUUUUUUUGUGUUUUCAAAGAUGUGUUUUGAUAAAGAUAUCGCCUGAGGAUAUUUUGAGUAAUAAAGUUCAUUUAGAAUCCAUUGUUAUUCAUUGAUAUAAAUAUUACUUGCUUUGAAUCUUAGUUUAUAUUUAAUAAAUAUCUG